GGAGGAAUAGGCUAACUGGUAAGUCAGCGGUCUUGAAAACCGCCGCCGCAAGGCUUGGGGGUUCGAGUCCCUCUUCCUCCG
rnacentral:tRNA from 1 species